UACGUAGGGACCAAGCGUUGUUCGGAUUUACUGGGCGUAAAGGGCGCGUAGGCGGCCUUCUAAGUCAGACGUGAAAUCCCCCGGCUUAACCUGGGAACUGCGUCUGAUACUGGGAGGCUUGAGUAUGGGAGAGGGAUGUAGAAUUCCAGGUGUAGCGGUGAAAUGCGUAGAUAUCUGGAGGAAUACCGGUGGCGAAGGCGGCAUCCUGGACCAUUACUGACGCUGAGGCGCGAAAGCUAGGGGAGCAAACGGG
rnacentral:rRNA from 1 species